ensembl:snoRNA SNORD16 Small nucleolar RNA SNORD16
GGCAAUGAUGGUGUAAUUUGCGUCUGACUCUGUGAUCAGUGACAGAAAGCCUGCUGUCAUAUGCUGACACAGUUGGCUGACGAACCUUAGAACUGAGCA